UGUGUUUCGUUGAAACGAUAAACCGAAGAAGGAAGGAAGAAUGAAUAUAAAGAAAGAAAGCAAGCAAGCGCAGAAUUCCUGGCACGAAAAUUUUGCAUGUGUCUUUUGUCGCAGUCGAGAAGUACGGAAUACGGUAUUAGAAGUAAGACAUGUAGACGAGGAAUCGAGCAGCGAGGAUGAAUGAGAAUAGUAAAGUGAUAGACGAUACCUUCUCACAUUUGCAGAUACUAACGUGAUUUCUUCCGCCAUCUGUUAUCACCUACUUUCACCUGAUCUCGCUUCACCUUUGGUUAUGUGGGAAUUCCCGAAGCGCCUCGCCUUGGAUCCUU